AUUGAACGCUGGCGGAAUGCUUUACACAUGCAAGUCGAACGGCAGCACGGACUUCGGUCUGGUGGCGAGUGGCGAACGGGUGAGUAGUGUAUCGGAACGUGCCCAGUCGUGGGGGAUAACGUAGUGAAAAUUACGCUAAUACCGCAUACGAUCGAUGGAUGAAAGCGGGGGAUCGCAAGACCUCGCGCGGUUGGAGCCGCCGAUAUCAGAUUAGGUAGUUGGUGGGGUAAAGGCCCACCAAGCCAACGAUCUGUAGCUGGUCUGAGAGGACGACCAGCCACACUGGAACUGAGACACGGUCCAGACUCCUACGGGAGGCAGCAGUGGGGAAGUUUGGACAAUGGGCGAAAGCCUGAUCCAGCCAUUCCGCGUGCAGGAUGAAGGCCCUCGGGUUGUAAACUGCUUUUGUACAGAACGAAAAGGUUUCUACUAAUACUAGGAGCUCAUGACGGUACUGUAAGAAUAAGCACCGGCUAACUACGUGCCAGCAGCCGCUGUAA
rnacentral:rRNA from 1 species